AUGAGCGGGGGCGGGACGGUGCAGGGUAUAUAAGAUCCGCUGCAAGGCGGGCUCGAACGGCGGCGCGGGGGGGCCCCAGUUUUUCUAACCCUAAGCUUAACGUGGCCCCUUCCCCGCCGCAGCCGGCCGCUGUUUUACUCGCUGACUUUCAGCGGCCGGGGGGAGCGGGCGGAGACACCAACCAAAAAACGUCAGCGAGGGGUCCUCCCCUCCCACGCCGACCUGGGCCGGUGGUGGGACCCGCCAGCGGAGUCCCCGCCGCCCCGCCCUGGUGAGGCCGCGGUCAGCCGGUUCGCGCCACUGCUGCCGCGAAGAGUUCGUCUCUGUCAGCCUCGGGGGCGGCCGGGGUGGAAGGGCGGGUCCCGGGAGGGUCGGCCGGGAGAGCAAACGUGAGCGGCAGCCCCAGCGCAACCGCCGUCCCCUGAGCUGUGGGGCCCGCGGUCGGGGCUGCUCUCAGACACGCCGAGUCGGGGGCGGAGGCGGGCCCGUCUCCUGCAGCCGCGCGAGUCUGCCCCGGGCUCCGUCCGCCGUGAGGAGACUGCUCCGCUGUGCUGCCCAACGACGGGCGAGCGGUUUCCUAAGCCCCCUGCUUUGUUCCCCCCCUCCAAAACAUGCGCCCGUGGCCCUGCUCCGUGACCCCCGCCGUCCCCCAGACACUCGCCUCUGGCGCCCUGCUCCGUCACCUUGCCCCCCCAACGUACGCCCGGGGCCCCACUGCGUGACCCCGGCCCCACCCCGUCUGUGAGUCUCCCCCAACAUGGUGGGGGCCCUGCUCUCUGACCCCCCCAGCCUGUCCCUGGGACCCCACCUCUCCCAGGAUCCUGCUCUGGGACCCCAACACAUGCACAGGGUCCUGCUCCGUGCCGCCCCCCCGACACCCAUGAUCUGUUACUCUUCCCCCUCUGGCGGCCCCCCGGCACACAGGGCUGUGCUCUGUGACUCUCCAUGCUUGGUAGUGCGUGAAUAUGGAAAGAAGGGCCACAGGUUGGCGCGGUGUGUGUGUGUGGUUGGGGGAGUAGCAGGGUCAAAGCAUGGUAAAGAGGUUGUUGGGAGAAGGGCGGCCACAGAGACCCAGUUUCAUUAUCUGCGGACUUCCUGGAUCCAAGAGGAGAGCUGCAGGUGAAAACAAAAGCAGGGCUUCUGGAGCCUUGAAUGUUCGGCCUCUCUUAGAGGAGAAGCCUCUUUUUGUCCAGGAAUAAUAAAAAAAAAUCAGGCUGAGAGUUAAUUUCCUCUCACUUGCCCAUCAGUCUUGCCAUGUAUAAUUAAACAAGAUUUUUAAUAUUUUUUUGAGUGCUGCAACUCAGACAUACAUGCAGUGAUUCAGGCUCGUGAUAUUAAACUGAUUUAAUUUAUGAAGCAAUCUAAGUUAUUAAUCUAUCAGGAUGCUUUUACAAUGUUGUUAACCAAUUGCAGUUGAUAAAAUACUUGAUCUGCAUUUUCAAGUUGACAUGCUUGAUUCAGAAAAUUGAAGCCAGAAGGAUGGAUGUGUCAUUCAAAGGCUCAAGAAUUCUCUGGUUCCGGUAUGUAUGCUACUUGGUUGAAGACUUGGGAACCAAAUUUGAAAUCCAGAGGAGACGUAUUACCACUGUCAGAAAGGCAUAGUUCUUAAGCUGUUUACAGGUUCCUAACUAAAUACCGUGUAAUGCUUGACAGGGAAGAAUACAUGUUGACAGCAUUUCUUAAGACAUGCUUCAAGGACAAAAUUAAAAUACUUCCAUAGGGUGUAGACAUCAAUCACCAGAAGGAUGUUCUUGUACACCAAGUACUAUAAAGUAUAGCUUUCCAGUGACCUUAACACACUGGCCAACACAGGAGCUGCUUUAGUAAUUACAGAUUACAUUAAGUAUCAAUCAAAAGCCACCAUCCAACUAGAAGACAAAUCUUUUAUGCAUUAUUAAAAUAAGAUCCUUCCCAGAAGAUUUAGGCUAAUAAAAUUGAAUUUAAUAAUGCAAUGAGUGAAACUCAAGUUUAAAAAAAAUUUGGUUUCUCCUUUGUUGAUAAUAUCCUAAGAAAUCCUAUAUUUUUUAUAAUGCAUAAAAUACAUAAAUCUUUGAAUAAUCCCUUGAAUGGAUUCACAGUUCAGUCACACAUUCUCUCAGAGGUUCCCUUUAUUUUUAUUGUAAUUUUUAUUGUAUAUUUUAUUGUGAAAUAAUUGCUAUUAUAUAUCAGGUAUGCAUCAUACUUAUUGCUACAGAUUAAAGACUUGAGGUGAGCUCUACGUAAUAUUCCAGCUAGUUACAAUAUGGAACAUUUUUCUACAAAUAUUAUGCAAUGUUCUACAAAUAUUAGCAAUGUUCCGUACUUGGUAAAAAUUAGGCCCUUUGAAGGAAUCUCAAAAUCACUAGUCAUUUAUUAAAAUCUUGGUCAGUGCAUACUAGUAUGUUCAUAUAUUACUGAUGUUGCAAUUGUUAGUGGACUGUAGUACAGGAAAGGGGCCUCUUUCAUAAGAGUUCAUAAUAUUCAAUAUAUGAUUUCCUAUCAGUCUAAUCUUUAAAACAAUCUACUUCUAUAGCAUUCACAUAAGUUACAGGUAUUUUGGAGAAGACAGUUGUAGAAUAUUUUCUACAUUAUAUUAGUUUUCAAUCUUUACCAUCCUGAAAGGUUUGGGAUUGGGCUAUGGGGCCUUCCUGAAUGUAUCGCUCCGUUAACUCAACACAGAAUAUUUAGAGCAGGGGUCGGCAACCUUUCAGAAGUGGUGUGCUGAGUCUUCAUUUAUUCACUCUAAGGUUUCGUGUGCCAGUAAUACAUUUUAACGUUUUUAGAAGG